rnacentral:rRNA from 1 species
AUUGAACGCUGGCGGCAUGCUUUACACAUGCAAGUCGAACGGGCUUGGGUGCUUGCACCUAAGUUAGUGGCGAACGAGUGAGUAAUGCAUCGGAACGUACCGUGUAGUGGGGGAUAACCCGGCGAAAGUCGGAUUAAUACCGCAUACGAUCUAAGGAUGAAAGCAGGGGAUCGCAAGACCUUGCGCUAUACGAGCGGCCGAUGUCGGAUUAGCUAGUUGGUAGGGUAAAGGCCUACCAAGGCAACGAUCCGUAGCGGGUCUGAGAGGAUGAUCCGCCACACUGGGACUGAGACACGGCCCAGACUCCUACGGGAGGCAGCAGUGGGGAAUUUUGGACAAUGGGCGAAAGCCUGAUCCAGCCAUGCCGCGUGAGUGAAGAAGGCCUUCGGGUUGUAAAGCUCUUUUGUCCGGGAGCAAAUCCUGUUCACUAAUACUGAGCGGGGCUGAGAGUACCGGAAGAAUAAGCACCGGCUAACUACGUGCCAGCCGCCGCCGUAA